GAUGAACGCUGGCGGCGUGCCUAAUACAUGCAAGUCGAGCGAACAGAUAAGGAGCUUGCUCCUUUGACGUUAGCGGCGGACGGGUGAGUAACACGUGGGUAACCUACCUAUAAGACUGGGAUAACUUCGGGAAACCGGAGCUAAUACCGGAUAACAUUUGGAGCCGCAUGGUUCUAAAGUGAAAGAUGGUUUUGCUAUCACUUAUAGAUGGACCCGGGCCGUAUUAGCUAGUUGGUAAGGUAACGGCUUACCAAGGCGACGAUACGUAGCCGACCUGAGAGGGUGAUCGGCCACACUGGAACUGAGACACGGUCCAGACUCCUACGGGAGGCAGCAGUAGGGAAUCUUCCGCAAUGGGCGAAAGCCUGACGGAGCAACGCCGCGUGAGUGAUGAAGGGUUUCGGCUCGUAAAACUCUGUUAUUAGGGAAGAACAAAUGUGUAAGUAACUGUGCACGUCUUGACGGUACCUAAUCAGAAAGCCACGGCUAACUACGUG
rnacentral:rRNA from 1 species